GUCAGAGUGGUGCAGUGGUUUGAAUGUUGGACUAGACUCUGGAGAGAGGGUUCGAAUCCCAGCUCGGCCA